rnacentral:rRNA from 1 species
UGCUUAACAUGCAGUCGAACGGCAGCGGGGGUAGCUUGCUACCUGCCGGCGAGUGGCGAACGGGUGAGUAAUACAUCGGAACGUGCCCUGUAGUGGGGGAUAACUAGUCGAAAGACUAGCUAAUACCGCAUACGACCUGAGGGUGAAAGUGGGGGACCGCAAGGCCUCAUGCUAUAGGAGCGGCCGAUGUCUGAUUAGCUAGUUGGUGGGGUAAAGGCCCACCAAGGCGACGAUCAGUAGCUGGUCUGAGAGGACGAUCAGCCACACUGGGACUGAGACACGGCCCAGACUCCUACGGGAGGCAGCAGUGGGGAAUUUUGGACAAUGGGGGCAACCCUGAUCCAGCAAUGCCGCGUGUGUGAAGAAGGCCUUCGGGUUGUAAAGCACUUUUGUCCGGAAAGAAAUCGCACUGGUUAAUACCUGGUGUGGAUGACGGUACCGGAAGAAUAAGGACCGGCUAACUACGUGCCAGCAGCCGCGGUAAUACGUAGGGUCCAAGCGUUAAUCGGAAUUACUGGGCGUAAAGCGUGCGCAGGCGGUUGUGCAAGACCGAUGUGAAAUCCCCGGGCUUAACCUGGGAAUUGCAUUGGUGACUGCACGGCUAGAGUGUGUCAGAGGGAGGUAGAAUUCCACGUGUAGCAGUGAAAUGCGUAGAGAUGUGGAGGAAUACCGAUGGCGAAGGCAGCCUCCUGGGAUAACACUGACGCUCAUGCACGAAAGCGUGGGGAGCAAACAGGAUUAGAUACCCUGGUAGUCCACGCCCUAAACGAUGUCAACUAGUUGUUGGGGAUUCAUUUCCUUAGUAACGUAGCUAACGCGUGAAGUUGACCGCCUGGGGAGUACGGUCGCAAGAUUAAAACUCAAGGAAUUGACGGGGACCCGCACAAGCGGUGGAUGAUGUGGAUUAAUUCGAUGCAACGCGAAAAACCUUACCUACCCUUGACAUGCCACUAACGAAGGCAGAGAUGCAUUAAGUGCUCGAAAAGAAAAAGUUGACCACAGGUGCUGACAUGACUGUCGUCAGCUUCGUGUCCGUGAAAA